rnacentral:rRNA from 1 species
ACGCUAUCACUCCUACGGGAGGCAGCAGUGGGGAAUCUUAGACAAUGGGGGAAACCCUGAUCUAGCCAUGCCGCGUGAGUGAUGAAGGCCUUAGGGUCGUAAAGCUCUUUCGCCAGGGAUGAUAAUGACAGUACCUGGUAAAGAAACCCCGGCUAACUCCGUGCCAGCACGCCGGCUGAUGAUACGGGAGGGGGUUAGCGUUGUUCGGAAUUACUGGGCGUAAAGCGCGCGUAGGCGGACUAGAAAGUUGGGGGUGAAAUCCCGGGGCUCAACCUCGGAACUGCCUUCAAAACUCCUAGUCUAGAGUUCGAGAGAGGUGAGUGGAAUUCCAAGUGUAGAGGUGAAAUUCGUAGAUAUUUGGAGGAACACCAGUGGCGAAGGCGGCUCACUGGCUCGAUACUGACGCUGAGGUGCGAAAGUGUGGGGAGCAAACAGGAUUAGAUACCCUGGUAG